CCCCAUGGAGCUUUAAACCUGACAGCNCCCGCUCAUUCUAUACCCCAUUAUUUGCCCGACCCCUGUCUGCUCAGUUUUAGGUUGGGGUGACCACGGAGUAUAAAGUAACCUCCAUGAAGAAGGGGAUAUUUCCCUUAUUAGAGAACCACACUUCCAAGAACUAAUAAAUUAAUUUUCAAUGACCCGAUACCCGAUAAUCGAUCAACGAACCAAGUUACCCUGGGGAUAACAGCGCAAUCCACCCUGAAAGCCCUUAUUAACAGGUGGGUUUACGACCUCGAUGUUGGAUCAGGGUAUCCCAGUGGUGCAGCAGCUACUGAGGGUUCGUUUGUUCAACGAUUAAAACCCU
rnacentral:rRNA from 1 species